UACGUAGGUGGCAAGCGUUGUCCGGAUUUACUGGGUGUAAAGGGCGUGUAGCCGGAGAGACAAGUCAGAUGUGAAAUCCACGGGCUCAACCCGUGAACUGCAUUUGAAACUGUUUCCCUUGAGUGUCGGAGAGGUAAUCGGAAUUCCUUGUGUAGCGGUGAAAUGCGUAGAUAUAAGGAAGAACACCAGUGGCGAAGGCGGAUUACUGGACGAUAACUGACGGUGAGGCGCGAAAGCGUGGGGAGCAAACAGG
rnacentral:rRNA from 1 species